rnacentral:rRNA from 1 species
ACGGGUGAGUAACACGUGAGCAACCUGCCCCUGACUCUGGGAUAAGCGCUGGAAACGGCGUCUAAUACUGGAUAUGUGACGUGACCGCAUGGUCUGCGUCUGGAAAGAAUUUCGGUUGGGGAUGGGCUCGCGGCCUAUCAGCUUGUUGGUGAGGUAAUGGCUCACCAAGGCGUCGACGGGUAGCCGGCCUGAGAGGGUGACCGGCCACACUGGGACUGAGACACGGCCCAGACUCCUACGGGAGGCAGCAGUGGGGAAUAUUGCACAAUGGGCGCAAGCCUGAUGCAGCAACGCCGCGUGAGGGACGACGGCCUUCGGGUUGUAAACCUCUUUUAGCAGGGAAGAAGCGAAAGUGACGGUACCUGCAGAAAAAGCGCCGG